rnacentral:misc_RNA from 1 species
AACGCACAUUGCGCCCCUCGGUAUUCCGGAGGGCAUGUCUGUUUGAGCGUCAUUUCAACCCUCGCUUCAAGCGGUAUUGAGCUUGGGAGUUCCAUUGCAAAAUGGGAAUCCAGCUUUAAAGUUGAAUGUUUUUUGCGGACGAAUGUUCUCGAAUAAAACAUAGUAAAAUCUUUUCAAAUGAUUUUCUCUUCUGUUUGUCCGUGAUAUUUGUCCCGCCGAACUAAACUCUAUAGAUAUAUUCUAUAUAUUUAUAGAGAUAAAUUUUUUUGGUUUGACCUCAGAUCAGACAAGAAUACCCGCUGAACUUAA